rnacentral:rRNA from 1 species
AUUGAACGCUGGCGGCAGGCCUAACACAUGCAAGUCGAACGAGUGGCGGACGGGUGAGUAAUGUCUGGGAAACUGCCUGAUGGAGGGGGAUAACUACUGGAAACGGUAGCUAAUACCGCAUACCAUCGGAUGUGCCCAGAUGGGAUUAGCUAGUAGGUGGGGUAAAGGCUCACCUAGGCGACGAUCCCUAGCUGGUUUGAGAGGAUGACCAGCCACAGUGGGACUGAGACACGGUCCAGAAUCCUACGGGAGGCAGCAGUGGGGAAUAUUGGACAAGGGGGGAAAGCCGGAUGCAGCCAUGCCGCGUGUAUGAGGAAGGCCUUCGGGUUGUAAAGUACUUUUAGCAGGGAAGCGGUACCCGCAGAAUAAGCACCGGCUAACUCCGUGCCAGCAGCCGCGGUAAUUC